rnacentral:rRNA from 1 species
UCGGGAAUUUUGGGCAAUGGGCGAAAGCCUGACCCAGCAACGCCGCGUGAAGGAUGAAGUAUUUCGGUAUGUAAACUUCGAAAGAAUAGGAAGAAUAAAUGACGGUACUAUUUAUAAGGUCCGGCUAACUACGUGCCAGCAGCCGCGGUAAUACGUAGGGACCAAGCGUUGUUCGGAUUUACUGGGCGUAAAGGGCGCGUAGGCGGCAAUUCAAGUCAUCUGUGAAAUCUCCGGGCUUAACUCGGAACGGUCAGAUGAUACUGCUUUGCUAGAGUGCAGAAGGGGCAAUCGGAAUUCUUGGUGUAGCGGUGAAAUGCGUAGAUAUAGGAAGGAACACCAGUGGCGAAGGCGACCACCUGGACUGAUACUGACACUGAGGUGCGAAAGCGUGGGGAGCAAACAGGAUUAGAUACCCAUGUAGUCCCUGAGCGGGCUGGCAAGGCGCAU